rnacentral:misc_RNA from 1 species
GAAUAACUUCAAACUGGCGUCGAAUUGCUUAUUCUUCAAAAACCCAGAAACCAUACAAUUAACGGUAACAACAGUUCUCUCAGAAAUUCUAUCGAACAAGACACAAGCAUAAUUCAACGACCUGUUAGAACUCAUAUAAAAAUAAAUCAAACUAUUCAGAACAUUCACAUUACCAUCCAAUCCAAGCAUCAUUACACGACUAUGUAUAGAUUUCCCUACUUUAACACCCAAAACCUUAUUACAAGCUUUUAACAAAGACGCAUACACAUAAGGAUCACUGACUGAGUCAUUCCAUUUCCCUCUUUGCAUGGCUUUGAAAAAAGAGAUGACCGUAAAAGGGUCCCUUUCUAAAUCAAAUUGGCGGAGCAUAGCGCGCCAAGCAGACAUAAUCCAAAGGGAUUUCAAGAGGAGGCUCGUUUGAUCGUGUGGGCUCCAAAUGGAUCACAGAAAGGGGUAACAGAAGAGACUCUAUCUGAGAAAAUACGGGUUAACUAAGGUGUGAAGAUACAGUCCCAUGAGAGAACGAAGGUGGAAUUAGUGAAGGAGGUUUGAAGGGUUUAGCAUGAAGAUAUUCAGAAACGAGGGGAGUCAUGGGCUAGUUGUGGAGAAAACUGGAGGUUUCUGAUGGUCAAAGAAGA